CGCUUAGGACUGCUGGUGAGGUUACCGGCCACUCGGACCGACUGCCUGCCUGACUGACGGGCGGGCCGGCGGGCGGAGGGAGGGGCGCGCGCCGAGGAGGGCGCCGGGGCGGAGUCAAGAGGCGUGCACUCGGAUUGGCUCUCAGCCGUCUGGGGGCGGGGCUGCGCGAGCCGGCGGAAGCGGCGAAGUCGGGGCGGAGCAUUGCGGCGGCAGCAGAGUCACCGCCCUGCUUGGUCACGUGCGUUCGCGGGGGAGUUGGCGCGGGAGGCGGCCCUCGAGACACAGAAGGGCAUCGAGGUGUCGAGGCGGAGCUAUAACACGGAGCCUGAGGAGACUGUCGGGGCAGGGAAAGCCCCGGAGCGGGGUACUGACUGAGACAGGGAACGACCUGGGACAGCGCGUGAGGGACGCCGGCACGCCGCACACCGGCCGCAGGCCUGCGGUAGGCCUCCCCGACUCCAUGGCCCACACACAAACUUAGAGGCCUCGAGACAAGGACAGAAACCGAAAGGCGUGACCGAGACCGCGAAAGAUAUUUGCAUACUGAGAAAGUGUGAAACACAGAGGUUGAGACUAAAGCGAGAGAGUCAGGAUCCACUCAUCAGACACAUUCGUUCCUCCAGUGUUUGUUGAGCAUCUACAGUGUUCCUGGGCAUCCACACUCUACAGUGAGGAGAUAGACAGAUUUUUCCUUUGGAAUAAUCAAAUGCAAAAGGAAAAUGUAACAAGACUGACAGCACUCUGAGGUGACUGUACACUUUGGAAGGAAGUCAUGAGGCACAGCUCAUACUUAAGGAGCGGGGAGUUACGGUCCAUCUCCUUGCAGGUGGUGUAUCUACAGAAAUUAUUUGGAAUUUUUCUGCAUGGGAGAUUCAUUUCAACAGUAUUUGAUUUUUAUAAUUUAUUUUGAAAUAAUAUCAAACUUAAUCGUUACAAGAACAGUAUAAGAACUUCUAUAUCCCCUUUCUUUCCUCCUCUCUCCCUAUAUAUAUAUGUAUAAUUUAUGCAUAUAAUAAUAUAUGUAUAGCUUAACAAACAUACAUUAACAUAUGUUAA